UACGUAGGGGGCAAGCGUUGUCCGGAUUUAUUGGGCGUAAAGCGCACGCAGGCGGUCUUUUACGUUUUGAGUGACAGGUGGGGGCUUAACUCCCACAGGCCUCGAAAUACGGGAAGACUUGAGGGCUUCAGAGGGACGCGGAAUUCCAGGUGGAGCGGUGAGAUGCGUAGAGAUCUGGAAGAACACCAACGGCGAAAGCACUCUGCUGGGCCGACACUGACACUGAGAGACGAAAGCUAGGGGAGCGAAUGGG
rnacentral:rRNA from 1 species